GGGAGAGAGCGCCGGGAUCCGGACGGGGAGCAACCGGGGCAGGCCGUGCCGGCUGAGGAGGUCCUGAGGCUACAGAGCUGCCGCGGCUGGCACACGAGCGCCUCGGCACUAACCGAGUGUUCGCGGGGGCUGUGAGGGGAGGGCCCCGGGCGCCAUUGCUGGCGGUGGGAGCGCCGCCCGGUCUCAGCCCGCCCUCGGCUGCUCUCCUCCUCCGGCUGGGAGGGGCCGUAGCUCGGGGCCGUCGCCAGCCCCGGCCCGGGCUCGAGAAUCAAGGGCCUCGGCCGCCGUCCCGCAGCUCAGUCCAUCGCCCUUGCCGGGCAGCCCGGGCAGAGACCAUGUUUGACAAGACGCGGCUGCCGUACGUGGCCCUCGAUGUGCUCUGCGUGUUGCUGGCUUCCAUGCCUAUGGCUGUUCUAAAAUUGGGCCAAAUAUAUCCAUUUCAGAGAGGCUUUUUCUGUAAAGACAACAGCAUCAACUAUCCGUACCAUGACAGUACCGUCACAUCCACUGUCCUCAUCCUAGUGGGGGUUGGCUUGCCCAUUUCCUCUCUGGAUUGCCUUUUGCAAUUCUUACUUCAAGGCAUACCCCCUUCCAACGAGGAGUAUUCUGUAAUGAUGAGUCCAUCAAGUACCCUUACAAAGAAGACACCAUACCUUAUGCGUUAUUAGGUGGAAUAAUCAUUCCAUUCAGUAUUAUCGUUAUUAUUCUUGGAGAAACCCUGUCUGUUUACUGUAACCUUUUGCACUCAAAUUCCUUUAUCAGGAAUAACUACAUAGCCACUAUUUACAAAGCCAUUGGAACCUUUUUAUUUGGUGCAGCUGCUAGUCAGUCCCUGACUGACAUUGCCAAGUAUUCAAUAGGCAGACUGCGGCCUCACUUCUUGGAUGUUUGUGAUCCAGAUUGGUCAAAAAUCAACUGCAGCGAUGGUUACAUUGAAUACUACAUAUGUCGAGGGAAUGCAGAAAGAGUUAAGGAAGGCAGGUUGUCCUUCUAUUCAGGCCACUCUUCGUUUUCCAUGUACUGCAUGCUGUUUGUGGCACUUUAUCUUCAAGCCAGGAUGAAGGGAGACUGGGCAAGACUCUUACGCCCCACACUGCAAUUUGGUCUUGUUGCCGUAUCCAUUUAUGUGGGCCUUUCUCGAGUUUCUGAUUAUAAACACCACUGGAGCGAUGUGUUGACUGGACUCAUUCAGGGAGCUCUGGUUGCAAUAUUAGUUGCUGUAUAUGUAUCGGAUUUCUUCAAAGAAAGAACUUCUUUUAAAGAAAGAAAAGAGGAGGACUCUCAUACAACUCUGCAUGAAACACCAACAACUGGGAAUCACUAUCCGAGCAAUCACCAGCCUUGAAAGGCAGCAGGGUGCCCAGGUGAAGCUGGCCUGUUUUCUAAAGGAAAAUGAUUGCCACAAGGCAAGAGGAUGCAUCUUUCUUCCUGGUGUACAAGCCUUUAAAGACUUCUGCUGCUGCUAUGCCUCUUGGAUGCACACUUUGUGUGUACAUAGUUACCUUUAACUCAGUGGUUAUCUAAUAGCUCUAAACUCAUUAAAAAAACUCCAAGCCUUCCACCAAAACAGUGCCCCACCUGUAUACAUUUUUAUUAAAAAAAUGUAAUGCUUAUGUAUAAACAUGUAUGUAAUAUGCUUUCUAUGAAUGAUGUUUGAUUUAAAUAUAAUACAUAUUAAAAUGUAUGGGAGAACCAAA